UAAGCCAUGCGAGUCGAGAGGUUCAAGACCUCGGCGUACUGCUCAGUAACACGUGGACAAUCUGCCCUGAAGUGGAGAAUAAUCCCGGGAAACUGGGGGUAAUACUCCAUAGUUCGUUAUUACUGGAAUGUUUUUCGAACGAAAGAUCCGUCGCUUCAGGAUGAGUCUGCGGCCGAUUAGGUAGUUGUUGGGGUAAUUGCCCAACAAGCCUGUAAUCGGUACGGGUUGUGGGAGCAAGAGCCCGGAGAUGGAUUCUGAGACACGAAUCCAGGCCCUACGGGGCGCAGCAGGCGCGAAAACUUUACCAUGCGGGCAACCGUGAUAAGGAAACCCCGAGUGCCAGCACAGGCUGGCUGUCCGCCAGUUUAAACAACUGGCGAAGAAAGGGCCGGGCAAGACCGGUGCCAGCCGCCGCGGUAAUACCGGCGGCUCGAGUGGUGGCCGCUAUUACUGGGCUUAAAGGGUCCGUAGCUUGAUAAUAGGGUCCCUUGAGAAAUCCGCCGGCUUAACUGGCGGGCGUUCAGGGGAAACUUGUUUUCUAGGGACCGGGGGAGGUGAGGGGUACUGCCGGGGUAGGAGUGAAAUCCUGUAAUCCCGGUGGGACCACCUAUGGCGAAGGCAUCUCACCAGAACGGGUCCGACAGUGAGGGACGAAAGCUGGGGGAGCAAACCGGAUUAGAUACCCGGGUAGUCCCAGCUGUAAACUAUGUGCGUUAGGUGUGUCAGUGACCACGUGUCACUGAGGUGCCGAAGGGAAACCGUGAAACGCACCGCCUGGGGAGUACGGUCGCAAGGCUGAAACUUAAAGGAAUUGGCGGGGGAGCACCACAACGGGUGGAGCCUGCGGUUUAAUCGGACUCAACGCCGGGAAUCUCACCGGAUAAGACAGCUGAAUGAUAGUCGGGAUGAAGACUCUACUUGACUAGCUGAGAGGAGGUGCAUGGCCGUCGUCAGUUCGUACUGUGAAGCAUCCUGUUUAGUCAGGCAACGAGCGAGACCCA
rnacentral:rRNA from 1 species